CAACUAUAUCACAUCGCAACACCAUUUCUCGUACGAUCACCGAAGUUAAGCAAUUUUGAACCUGAUCAGUAUAUAAAUGGGUGACCACUGGGGAAUAGCAGGAGUUGUAC